rnacentral:misc_RNA from 1 species
UGGGGGUGGGGGAAUACAUUAUUAUUUGAAAUGAACUUGGUUCUAUCAUAUAAAGACUUGGCUGAUCUGUGAAAACAAGUUAGUAGAGUGACAGCACCAAAUCAAACAAUGCAGACUGUGCUGUUUGUGUUGAUCUUUAUGACGACUGUUACGUGGUCCAUUUCCAUGUCCAUGCCCAACUUUUGUCCUGUAUGCGAUACUUCAAAAUGUGAGCCAAUAGAAUCAUGUUCCACGGAAAAGUUGCUUGACCAAUGUGGAUGCUGCACCGUUUGUGCCAAG